UACGUAGGGCGCAAGCGUUAUCCGGAAUUAUUGGGCGUUAAAGAGCUCGUAGGCGGUUUGUCGCGUCUGCCGUGAAAGUCCGGGGCUCAACUCCGGAUCUGCGGUGGGUACGGGGCAGACUAGAGUGAUGUAGGGGAGACUGGAAUUCCUGGUGUAGCGGUGAAAUGCGCAGAUAUCAGGAGGAACACCGAUGGCGAAGGCAGGUCUCUGGGCAUUAACUGACGCUGAGGAGCGAAAGCAUGGGGAGCGAACAGG
rnacentral:rRNA from 1 species